UAUUGGUACAGGCUGCCCACGAACGUGAUGGAGUCACUGCCCCUGGAGGUGUUCAAGAACUAUGUAGAUGUGGCACUGGGGGGCAUGGUUUAGUGGGGAUGAUUUGAUGAUUGGACCUAGAUGGAGUUAGAGGUCUUUUCCAGCCUUAAUGAUUCUAUAAUUCUAUAUAACAGGAGAUCCCUCCCUGUCACUCCAUCUCCCAACAUAGCUGUGCCCAGUGUUUUGAUGGGACCAGUGAUUUAUGACAGAUCCAGUCUGAGAUGUCCCUUAAAAGAAGUCCUGAGUGUGCCUAGGACACUUCUUUCUCUGGACUACAGACUCCUGUGAAGUGCUUCCACUGACAUUCUGGCAAAGGCUGGAACAAGAAAAGGAAAUCUCCCCAGAGUUCGACCUGUAGGAUCAAACUCAUCAGCCCCCAAGUAAGAGAAACCUACUUACCCAUAAACAUGAUGGCUGCAA
rnacentral:lncRNA from 1 species